GUUACUUACAACCUCAGCCUCCCCACCUACCCUCUGACUACAGACACAGGCCAUCCUUGCCCUCCCCAACUUGUUCACCACCAGCUGCUAACCCGGCACCUGUGCCUGGGCAGGCACACUUUGAUCUGAUGCUGGACCUCUGGCUUUUGCACAUGGCUGUCAUGGGUCUUUGAAGGGUUAAAGCCAGUGUGGCACUGUGUUUGGAGGAAUGGGAUGGUAGUCAUGUUGGAGAGCCUGUGGGGUCACUUUGGCUAUGAAGAGGACGCAUAAGGAUCACAUUCCCUUCAAGAGAGAUAACACUUGUAACUAUAAAUAAACUUCUCAUGGAGAUCAGCUGGGACCUCGUAGCAGAAAUCUUAUUUAAAACAACUGAAAAUUACUUCGCCUGAGCUUAAGCCACAGCGUAACAGAUACCUUCUCCUCCAGCCCUGCUGUCUGUGCCUGUAGCUGUUACUUCAGAAAAGAUUCUUGUCACAAGAUAUCAUAACAGGGAAACGUCCUUCUGGAACUUGACUCAGGCCAACUGAUGUCUUCUCCCUGCCUGGAGAAAACCUUUGUCCUCCAGACUGAAGACAGGCACUUGAAAGUAAACCUGCCUGGUCUGUUCCUGUGAACCAGCAGUGUUGAAGGUUAAUUAGAAGUGCUGAAGGAGAAAAUCACUUUUUCCGUGUGUUCACCACUUGAGAACCACAGGAUCGGGACUAUUUAUUUGGAUCACUUUAUUUUUUGUUAUCAUCCAAUGGGAAGGCUGAGUCCCAUUUCUCUUCCAUGUAAAGAUUUCAAUUUCCUUGGACUACCAUAAAUCCUAAGCAGUGAUCCUGGUUUUUUUCCUGACAGCAGCUCCCAUUGGAGUUUACUUUGGACUUCCUGAAGAGGUGGUCAGAGAGACUAUUCUCAUGGGCUCUGAAAUCCUCCUCUGCUUAGAAUGAUGGGGGGAAGCAUUAGCACAGACUGGCAUACAGCACCACCUGGGAGAUCUUAUGUUACUCAUUGUGCUGCCCUUCUCUCAGCAGGGCAUGCCCUCGGUGCAGAUAAGGAUGUAUUAAGUGACUGAAAGACAUGCAGUUGUCCCCCGAAAGGUGUCAGUUCAGUGUUGCUGUAGAUGAGAGAACUGUUCCAUUUCUGUCCUUAAUCUGAAAUAAUUUUCAGAUUGCUUGCUGAUGGUCAUUCUUUGCUGAAUGGGACCUCUGCAUAACGCUAGAAGGCAUAUUCUGUUUAACGUUCUGUUUCCCAACCUUCUGUCUUUCCUUCACCCAUGAUGACUGCCAGCACAUUUGUGAGUUUUUCAUUUGAAUGAAAUUUUGCUCUAGCUGUGGGCAGAACAUAGAAAAAAAAAUCAAUAGCUAUUAAGAUAUGUGAUACUGCAGGAUAUGGGAUCCUACUGGUAGAAAAUAUGAGGACCAUUUAUUUAUUCACAUACCCGAGUGCCUGCAUUCGUAAUCUGACCUCACUGCCCAGGUCCUGAUCUUCCCCCAGGUUUUCAGUGGGUUUUUUUGUUGCCAAAU